UGGGAGUGAGCAGAUGCGGCAGGACCUAG
rnacentral:piRNA from 1 species